UACGAAGGGGGCGAGCGUUGUUCGGAAUUACUGGGCGUAAAGGGCGCGUAGGCGGCGACUCUAGUCAGAUGUGAAAGUCCUGGGCUUAACCUGGGGACUGCAUUUGAUACUGGGUUGCUUGAAUUCGGGAGAGGAUAGCGGAAUUCCCAGUGUAGAGGUGAAAUUCGUAGAUAUUCGGAAGAACACCAGUGGCGAAGGCGACUCGCUGGACAAGUAUUGACGCUGAGGUGCGCAAGCGUGGGGAGCAAACAGG
rnacentral:rRNA from 1 species